AACGAACGCUGGCGGCGUGCUUAACACAUGCAAGUCGAACGAUGAAGCCGGAGCUUGCUCCGGUGGAUUAGUGGCGAACGGGUGAGUAACACGUGAGCAAUCUGCCCUUGACUCUGGGAUAACUGCGGGAAACUGUAGCUAAUACCGGAUACGACACCUUGGGGCAUCCCAGGGUGUGGAAAGAAUUUCGGUCAAGGAUGAGCUCGCGGCCCAUCAGCUAGUUGGUGAGGUAAUGGCUCACCAAGGCGACGACGGGUAGCCGGCCUGAGAGGGUGACCGGCCACACUGGAACUGAGACACGGUCCAGACUCCUACGGGAGGCAGCAGUGGGGAAUAUUGCAGAAUGGGCGAAAGCCUGAUGCAGCAACGCCGCGUGAGGGAUGAAGGCCUUCGGGUUGUAAACCUCUUUUAGCAGGGAAGAAGCGAAAGUGACGGUACCUGCAGAAAAAGCACCGGCUAACUACGUGCCAGCCGCCGCGGUAA
rnacentral:rRNA from 1 species